AUGAACGGGUGCCUCGCCUCCAUUGCCGUCCUUACCGCUUGGCACCUCUGGAAACACCGGAACGGGUGCCUAUUCGACGGCGACCAGCCUGCUGUGGGACGCGUAGUGCACAUGAUCCAGGAGGAGGUGCGGCUAUGGGCGCGCGCCGGUGCCAAGGGCAUGGCCCUCAUCCUGCCAGAGACGUAG
rnacentral:rRNA from 1 species